CACAUGGACAAGCUGUGUGGUGCUGUAACUCUUGGGAAUCAAUAGCUAUUGUGCUCUGAACCUGUAGCCAUGAACCCUAGAAGCCCCCUACAAAAAAAUCAAUAGGGGCCGUUUGUGGCAUAGCAGUCAUCAAUUGAUGUUGAUAAUGGAGGGGGCAGAGAGAGGCAGUGUAGAGAGUGGUGGAGUGGCCCUUACUCUGAGAGCCCGCUGAGGGUUCAUCUCCAUGGAAUCAGCCUCCUCUCAACAGCACUCACAAACCCAGAGACAAGCACUGCCUGCUAACCAGACCUUUCUGCUAGAAUGCAAGAAAACCCUCAGCUCACUUUGUUCCUGUUUACAACCAGCUAAUGUUGAACUUUUAAAGUCCAUUUUUUAUUUAUUUAUUUAUUUAUUUAAUUUUUUGCAAUGUGAAAGCAUAUCUUAAAAAUCUGCACAUC